AGAAUCAACGCUGGCGGCGUGCCUAACACAUGCAAGUCGAACGAGAAAGUGGAGCAAUCCAUGAGUAAAGUGGCGCACGGGUGAGUAACACGUGACUAACCUACCUUUUAGUGGGGGAUAACCUAGGGAAACCUGGGCUAAUACCGCAUAAUACCUACGGGUCAAAGCAGCAAUGCGCUGGAAGAGGGGGUCGCGGUCGAUUAGUUAGUUGGCAGGGUAAUGGCCUACCAAGCUGUGAUCGAUA
rnacentral:rRNA from 1 species